rnacentral:rRNA from 1 species
GACGAACGCUGGCGGCGUGCUUAACACAUGCAAGUCGAACGGAAAGGCCCUGCUUUUGUGGGGUGCUCGAGUGGCGAACGGGUGAGUAACACGUGAGUAACCUGCCCUUGACUUUGGGAUAACUUCAGGAAACUGGGGCUAAUACCGGAUAGGAGCUCCUGCUGCAUGGUGGGGGUUGGAAAGUUUCGGCGGUUGGGGAUGGACUCGCGGCUUAUCAGCUUGUUGGUGGGGUAGUGGCUUACCAAGGCUUUGACGGGUAGCCGGCCUGAGAGGGUGACCGGCCACAUUGGGACUGAGAGACGGCCCAGAGUCCUACGGGAGGCAGCAGUGGGGAAUAUUGCACAAUGGGCGGAAGCCUGAUGCAGCAACGCCGCGUGCGGGAUGACGGCCUUCGGGUUGUAAACCGCUUUCGCCUGUGACGAAGCGUGAGUGACGGUAAUGGGUAAAGAAGCACCGGCUAACUACGUG